ACCUGGCUGGCUUAAUCAGUAGAGCAUGAGACUCUUAAUCUCGGGGUUGUGAGUUUGAGCCCCAUGAUGGUUG
rnacentral:tRNA from 1 species